CUGCUAUGAUGAGUGAAGUAUAGUCUGACCUGGUAUUGCCCAGACUGCGGUUUGGGCUCUGACCAGGACGUGAUCACGUAAUCUUCUCUCUGAGCCG